rnacentral:rRNA from 1 species
UACGGGGGGAGCAAGCGUUGUUCGGAUUUACUGGGCUUAAAGGGCGCGUAGGCGGGUGCUCAAGUCCGUGGUGAAAUCCUCCGGCUCAACCGGAGAACUGCCUCGGAUACUGGGCGUCUCGAGUGUGGUAGGGGUAUGCGGAACUAUCGGUGGAGCGGUGAAAUGCGUUGAUAUCGAUAGGAACUCCGGUGGCGAAGGCGGCAUACUGGACCACCACUGACGCUGAGGAGCGAAAGCGUGGGGAGCGAACAGG